rnacentral:rRNA from 1 species
AGUGAACGCUGGCGGUAGGCCUAACACAUGCAAGUCGAACGGCAGCACAGUAAGAGCUUGCUCUUACGGGUGGCGAGUGGCGGACGGGUGAGGAAUACAUCGGAAUCUACUUUUUCGUGGGGGAUAACGUAGGGAAACUUACGCUAAUACCGCAUACGACCUACGGGUGAAAGCAGGGGAUCUUCGGACCUUGCGCGAUUGAAUGAGCCGAUGUCGGAUUGGCUAGUUGGCGGGGUAAUGGCCCACCAAGGCGACGAUCCGUAGCUGGUCUGAGAGGAGGAUCGGCCACACUGGAACUGAGACACGGUCCAGACUCCUACGGGAGGCAGCAGUGGGGAAUAUUGGACAAUGGGCGCAAGCCUGGUCCAGCCAUCCCGCGUGGGUGAAGAAGGCCUUCGGGUUGUAAAGCCCUUUUGUUGGGAAAGAAAAGCAGCAGGUUAAUACCCCGCUGUUCUGACGGUACCCAAAGAAUAAGCACCGGCUAACUUCGUG